UAUAAUCCAAACUAUUUGUACAAACCAGUAUUUGAAUACUGGCCAUAUGGCUCAAACAGUUCCAUAUCCAGCCCUAUAUUAUUUUCAAGGCAAAUUCUCCAUUAUUUUCUCAGAGAGGUACAAUAGCAGCUUCUGAAUGCAAAUAAUUUUUUGAGUUGCAUGGCUGCUGCUUUGCUUGAAGUUGUUAAGGCUUUCUCAUCCUUUUAACAUAAGUUCUGUAAGACUUCUAACUAAAACUAUUCUUUAGAUUUUUAAUAUGUAUUCAUUUAAUUGGGUUAUACUCACCUAAUCUGGGACAUUAGAAAGCAUUAGGCUUUACUUGUCUUUUAAGUCCUUGGUUAAAAAAAGAAAAAGAGAAAUUUAGAUAUGAGUAAUGUCUCUUCGGUUGAAUUACUGAACUAUAGGUUUAGAAAAAUUGAAUAUAGGUUCACUCAUUGUCCUCUCCGUCUUCAAAUUUCCAGAAUUGAAUUCAACUUCUUCAGUGAUUACUGGAACCAUUACAUGGCCAUUUCUUAAAAGAGAUUAUGAAAACAAUCAUUAACCAAGACUUUUUGGACAGAACUGCAUUUGAAGCAUUCAUGGAGUGGAAAUUUCCCUAGCUUCUUCCUUGGAAGAGCAUCCAUUCACCCUGCAGUUCCCAAGGAGCGUCGCAAAAACGAGGCUAAGGGCGCAGACAGAACUCUGGAGGUGAAGCAUGCAGAAACUUUGCUCCCUCUCCACGCAAAACCAGAGCAAAAGCUAGAGCUUCCUGUAAGAAGCGCAAGAUUCUUCCACCUGAGGAUGGCUCAAAGUGAUGUGGAACUAUCAGAAACAAAAUUCUAAAGAUAUAAUCACUCAUCGUUACAACCAGCGACAAAGGAAGUCAUCCAAAAGGUGACAGUGUGGCUGGCUACACAGGCAAGCUCAGAUCUUGAAAAGGUUGAAAAAAUGCAAAAGUUAAAAGAAAGCACACACUGGAAUUCCAAAGACGGUAUCUCAAAGUGAGAAGCCUGGAAGAAACUCCGCUCUGCAAGCAUGCUGAAGACCAAUACGAACAGUAACACUAGCAAUGAUAAUAAUAAAGCCAAACUUGGGACAGGAAGGAGAGAGAAAAGAGAAAUGUACUCCUGCGGGCAGACAUCAUAAUGUCAACAUACAAUACAAACACAGCAGAUGCACUUGAGUUUUAUUUCAGACUAUCUUCCCAAAGAAAUGAAUAUAUUCUAGAAAUUAAAAGAGUUGGGCCAGUGCAGUGGCUCAUGCCUGUAAUCCCAGCACUUUGGGAGGCCGAGGCAGGUGGAUCACGAGGUCAAGAGAUCGAGACCAGCCUGGCCAACAUGGUGAAACCCCAUCUCUACUAAAAAUACAAAAAGUAGUUGGGCGUGGUGGCACGUGCCUGUAAUCCCAGCUACUCGGGAGUCUGAGGCAGGAGAAUCGCCUGAACCCGGGAGGCAGAGGUUGCAGUGAGCCAAGAUCAUGCCAUUGCACUUCAGUCUGGGCAACAGGGUGAGACUCUGUCUCAAAAAAAAAAAAAAAGAGUUGGACAAAAAAAAAUAAUACUAAGAUGGACUUAAAAACCCAAAUUGGAGCCUUAUAACUUUUAAAUCAUCCGAUAUGUUUUCUAGUACAGGACAAGAGAGGGUUUCUAAGACUUACUAGAGGCAAAUAUCCUAAUUUCCAAUGACAUGAUUUGUUGAAA